rnacentral:rRNA from 1 species
UGAGGAAUAUUGGACAAUGGGAGCAAUCCUGAUCCAGCCAUGCCGCGUGCAGGAAGACGGUCCUAUGGAUUGUAAACUGCUUUUAUACAGGAAGAAAAAGGAGUACGUGUACUCUAUUGACGGUACUGUAUGAAUAAGGAUCGGCUAACUCCGUGCCAGCAGCCGCGGUAAUACGGAGGAUCCGAGCGUUAUCCGGAAUUAUUGGGUUUAAAGGGUCCGUAGGCGGGAUAAUAAGUCAGUGGUGAAAGUUUGUGGCUCAACCAUAAAAUUGCCAUUGAUACUGUUAUUCUUGAGUUAUUGUGAAGUGGUUAGAAUGUGUAGUGUAGCGGUGAAAUGCAUAGAUAUUACACAGAAUACCAAUUGCGAAGGCAGAUCACUAACAAUCGACUGACGCUGAUGGACGAAAGCGUAGGUAGCGAACAGG